CUCAAAAAAAAAGCUGUAAAUCCAGGGCCCAAAAGCUGCCCUCAAUGGGAAGUGGAAUCGUUUUCUUCACCUCUUCAAUAUGGCUGGCCCUGGAACUUCCCUUGGCACACAGAAUGCAGCAGAAUUGGCUUCAUAUUGUUUCUAAGCCUUGGCCUCGGAGGCCUUGCAUGCUUCCUAACCCUGGCUCUAGGAAACUUGUUGCUGUCAUGUAAGCAAGCCCAGGCUAACCUGCUGAAUGUUGGUGUGUCUCAGUCAAAUCCAGCACUGCAACCAAUAGCCAGCCGGCCACCAGACAUGUGAGUGGGGCCACCUCACACCAGCCAACCUCCAUCAAGUCAUCAGAUGUAUGAGUGAGAACAGCCCAGAACGACUGAGCCCGUCCAGACCAGCGGAACGACCAAGCUGACCAGUAGACUUAGGAG